rnacentral:lncRNA from 1 species
CCUUCACAACCUUAGGUCUCUCUAGAGCAAAGCUCUCACACUCUCUCCCUCACAAAUACUCUCAGAGAAAUACAAUCAGUGUGGAAGUAGCCCAAACCUUGGGGUGAACCACGAUACAUCUUGUGUUAUUUACAUUUCAUGCAGAUUCACGGUUGGAUUUACGUUGUUCCAAGGCCUCCGGUUUUAUGCAUCAACAUAAUCAAAUUUGAAGGUAGAAGCAAGCUCCAACUGAUAUAUCAAUCCUACGUGGAUUGACAUAUGAGUUUUCAUAUGUCAAAUUUGAAAUAUGAGAAAAGGUGAUGUCAAAUCAUUUUUAAUUAUUUUAUUGUGUGGGUGUCAUUAAUGCACCAAUUAUAGAACUUGAAAAUUUAUUUUAAUUGAUUUAUUUUUAAAAUGGGUCUUACAAAUAUCAUUUAUAAGAAAAAAAACAUAUUGGUUGGAAAAAAGAGAAAAUUUGACAUUACCAUGUCAGCCAUCAAAUUAACAUUUGAUGUUUAUCUUUUGAUAUCUCAUUUGAAGAUGCUCUUAUAUGUCAAAUUUGACAUAUAAAAACUCAUAUGUCAAUCCACAUAAGAUUGACAUAUUAGUUGGAGCUUGCUUCUACCUUCAAAUUUGAUUACAUGACAUUCUACUUAGGAUUUGACAUCUCCUUUAGAGAUGAUCUUAUGUGGCUGUUCCCUUUUGGACCAAUAUAUAUUAUGUAAUUAGUUUAACUUUUUCUGUGUAAAUCCUAAGUCUAUAAAUUGAUAGGCACUCUAGAAAAAAAGACACUCUUAUUUUAUCCUCCUAAUCUCUCUCUGGCCUCUCUCUAGUCUCUCUUGCUCUACAUGUUAUUUAUAACACUUUGAAUUUUUACUUCUAUUUUUGUUAUUACGAUUAAUAUUACUACUAUGAACUAGAUUAAGGGAGGAGGAAGAGUUUGAAUCUGGAACACAGUGCAUCAAAAAAUUUGCCAUACGGACUAUAGUAAUCCACCAUUUGUGGAUUUUUACUACCAUAUUUAUUCAAGACGUUGGGGGCGUGGGCAAUUUUCACAAUACAUUUUACCUUAUUUUAUGCUCAUAUUUUAAGUAUCUUUAUGAUACACAUUUACUUGCAAAAUUUAUAAAUUUGAAUUUCU